AGAUUGAACGCUGGCGGCAGGCCUAACACAUGCAAGUCGAGCGGUAGAGAGGUGCUUGCACCUCUUGAGAGCGGCGGACGGGUGAGUAAUGCCUAGGAAUCUGCCUAGUGGUGGGGGAUAACGUUCGGAAACGGACGCUAAUACCGCAUACGUCCUACGGGAGAAAGCGGGGGACCUUCGGGCCUCGCGCCAUUAGAUGAGCCUAGGUCGGAUUAGCUAGUUGGUGAGGUAAUGGCUCACCAAGGCGACGAUCCGUAACUGGUCUGAGAGGAUGAUCAGUCACACUGGAACUGAGACACGGUCCAGACUCCUACGGGAGGCAGCAGUGGGGAAUAUUGGACAAUGGGCGAAAGCCUGAUCCAGCCAUGCCGCGUGUGUGAAGAAGGUCUUCGGAUUGUAAACUGCUUUUGUAACGGAACGAAAAGUCUACUUUACUAAUAAAGAGGAUCAUGGCGGUAACCGUAAGAAUAAGCAACCGGCUAACUACGUGCCAG
rnacentral:rRNA from 1 species